GAUGAACGCUGGCGGCGUGCUUAACACAUGCAAGUCGAACGAUGAAGCCCACUUGUGGGUGGAUUAGUGGCGAACGGGUGAGUAACACGUGAGUAACCUGCCCUUGACUCUGGGAUAAGCCUGGGAAACUGGGUCUAAUACCGGAUAUGACCUUCCAUCGCAUGGUGGUUGGUGGAAAGCUUUUGUGGUUUUGGAUGGACUCGCGGCCUAUCAGCUUGUUGGUGGGGUAAUGGCCUACCAAGGCGACGACGGGUAGCCGGCCUGGGAGGGUGACCGGCCACACUGGGACUGAGACACGGCCCAGACUCCUCCGGGAGGCAGCAGUGGGGAAUAUUGCACAAUGGGCGCAAGCCUGAUGCAGCGACGCCGCGUGAGGGAUGACGGCCUUCGGGUUGUAAACCUCUUUCAGUAGGGAAGAAGCGUAAGUGACGGUACCUGCAGAAGAAGCGCCGGCUAACUACGUGCCAGCAGCCGCCGUAAAAC
rnacentral:rRNA from 1 species